GUUUUGUGUAAACUCAUUAAGACCCAAUUCACAAAUUCACACCAGUGGCGUGCUGGGUACUAUUUUUCUGGGGGGCCAGUGGGCUGUCAACAAAUAUGCGCCCCUAUGUUUCGCUUGAUAAACGAGGGCCGAAGGCACGAGCCGAGCGCCGCAGAUGCGAGGUUUGUCUAGGGGGGUCCGGGGGCAUGCUCCCCUGGAAAAUUUUUGAAUUUAGAGUCUCUGAAAUGACAUUUCCUGGACUUUGGGGGAAAAUUUGACAGAAAUCUGAUGGUCAGGAAACGGCAUUAAAACGUGUCGAAAUUUGUAAUUUGGUUUGAAUUUAGUAGUAGUAGUACUUAUAUUAUGCAAUGCUAACAACUUCCAGCGAUUAAUUAUAAUCUAAUCCCAAUUCUAUUCUUUACUGAUCUAGUGAUCUGAAUACAAUUACAACAUACAGCUCUUUUAUACAAUAACACACGGACCCCACGCAUAUGCAUUUUAAGGUUUCCCUGCCUGGCUGCCAAAAGAGCGCGUUUCAGCAUUAUUUCAUUACUCACAUUACUCAUGAUGUUUCUAGCGCAAACAACUAAAUUGCGUACACAACUUUACAUUAAUAUCAUAACUUAAACUAUCUAAUUUGCGCCGCUUUUGUGAUUCGUAAUAAAGGGCAGUGAAGCAUAAUAAAGGGCAUAAUACCAGCAAAAAAGGGCAUAAUUCCCGUGAUCGCUUCGAAACCUGACCAAUAUUCCGGUGAUGAGACAUUGCGUGUGAUCACAGUUCAUGUUUCUAUAUGAACGAUUUCGUGUGUGUCGUGAGGUAGCAAAUUAGCAAAUAUAGUCUGUAUAAUUUAAUAUAUCACUUUGUCGCCUAUGCGCUUAGUCUGUUUUAUAAGCCUAUAAACACAUCUUUUCUCGAAGGAAGUAAAUAUAUUUUUUCGAAUGCGUUUUUUCCAACCCACUUUCAAAACUCGGCGCGGGAUCGGCGCCCCCUUUUCAUUUUUGCGCCCUGUAAGAAUUGCCAGCAGGGGGGGCCGUGGCCCCCCGGCCCCCCCUGCCAGCACGCCACUGAUUCACACUAAUGCGCUCUAUUUCAAAGCUCAAUAUUUUGCCCUGUUAAUACCAGACUAUUUUGCAUUAUUUGGCGUUAGCACAUUUAGAUGCAAUUCACCCUAACACUCAAUCCCCACUUUCAG